rnacentral:rRNA from 1 species
GACUCUCGACAAUGGAUAUCUCGGCUUUCGCAUAGAUGAAAAACGUAGCGAAAUGUGAGACUUGGUGUGAAUUGCAGAAUCCCGUGAACCGUCGAGUCUUUUACCGCAAGUUGCACCUGAAGCCAUUAGGUCGAGGGCACGUCUGCCUGAGUGUCA